CUCUGCCUCCCGAGUGCUGAGAUUAAAGCCAUGAGCCACCACUGCCUGGCUUGCAUUUUUUAAAACAAAGUAUCUGUAUCCCCUACUGACCCGGAAUCCCCCCUACACAGCACAAAAAACUUCUGGUCCUUUUAUUUCCACUUCCAGCUAGCUACUGUUGGAUGCUGGGAUCAACAGAAAUGAGACUAAGUCAUGUACGGCAGACAAGACAGGCAAGCUUUAUUGGGACUUCAGCUCUUGAGCAGAAGGGAGCUAACACUAGACAGAAGCUAUCAGGCUGCUUUGUUGAGGAAAAGGAGCCCAGCAGUCAAAACAAAGCACUGAAUUGAAUCCUGCUGGUUGCUGGAAUUUAGCAGUAGUGGAAGCCAGUUGGUGGCAGCAGAAGAGGCCAGAUAGGAGACAGAAUGGCAAUGAAGAAAGCUGGGAUUAAAAAAGAUCAAGACUAGUCAAGGACCGAGGGAGCCGAAUCCUGUGUGUAUCUGGAAGUUGAAGACAAGCCAGAUAUGACAAUGGAACAGUAUAAUUGGCCUUCAAGAAGCCAGUGAUCUUGGUUCUUCCAUUUUCAUUUGUUCUAUUGUAUAUGCCAUAGUAUGAGCACUUUCUGGAGAAGAACGAAAACAUCUUCAACAGCUAUUAUAUCAUUGUUUUUUCUCAGGUUCCAGUAAUCCAGUUAUAUUCUCUCUUCUCUGUGAAAAAGACUAUGUGGCUUCUACCCAGCAACCAGUGAGAAGCCGAGACCCUUGGACCAACAGGUAGUGAGAAACUAAAUCGUGCCUACCACCAUUUAAGUGAGAAUAGAAACAGAUCCUUCCCUAGUUGUGCCUGAGAUGACUGCUUUGCCAUCAAACACUUUCAUUCCCACUUCAGAAGAAACCUUGUGCCAGAUGAAAGAGAGACAGUGGUUCCCAACCCACAGAAUUGUGGACUUAGAAAGAGAACCCAGGAUGGUGAGAUGGCUUUAGUGGUAAAGGAUCUUGCUUCCAGGCCCAAGGACCCAAGUUUAAGCCUGAGAACCUAUGUGGAGAUUGAGUCUCAUGACCCACAUGGAGGCUUGGAUCUCCAUGGUUAAGGUGCUGGCAUCUGGCAAGCCCCAAUCCCGGCAUUGUAGUGGGUAGUCAUUCCAGCUUUGAUCUGGAAGUUCCAACCCCCAUUGAGGCUUCGGUAACUGUCACACCUACAAGGCAGGGCCAAGAGAGAACGCUGAAGACCCGAGAUCCGGAUGCACC